CUUCCAGCUCUGUGAUUCUAUGAAUCUACCUCCAGGUCUCUGGAUGCCAGCUGCCAGGAAUUGCCUGUGGGGAGAGUUGCUGUUGCACUCUGAUCUUAUUUGUGGGCUUUCCUUGCGAGAACAGGAGGUUGGGCUAGAUGGGCGCCCUUUGGCCUGAUCCAGCAGCCCAUCUCUUCUUAUCUUCUAAUGGUGCCCCUGUGCAGAGCAAGAUCCUGCUCUAGAUAGACCUGAGGUCUGAUUCAACAGGGCUGUAUGUAUGUUCUCAUUUACAACUACAAGGUUUUUCCUUCCUUUCUUUUUCUGCCUACAAAGACAUACAAAUUCUCCAGCCUUCUCUGGAUCUGCCUGUGGCUGGUGGAGGAAGCUGGUGGGGGUGGACUAAAUGGUAUUCUGCUAACCAGACAUUGCCUAAUUGGCUGUCUCCCAGGGCUGCUUGUUGCUGCUGUAACUGCUUUAUUUAAUGUUCAGAAGACCCUGUGCUAACUUGCUGUGCACAUUUCCUUGUUGGGGCCUCAAAGGCUUCCACAUCAAACAGCCAGCCCGGGCGCAGGAAAAACCAGCCUUCAGGAAAACAGCAUCUUGUGCAAUGUCUGGCGCAACCUUCCUUGAGGAGAGUUGAAAGGUAUGGGAAGCACUGACCCAUUUUGGAAACCGAGGGUGGUCCAUCUUUGAAGGUCAAACGAGGUGGGGGCUCUCGGAUAGAAAAGAAUAGCACAUAAAUUCUUUGGGAAGAUCUCUUCCCUGUAAUCCGGCUCUGUCCAUGUUAUCUGGAAAGAUUUGCCCACGAAAACAUCAUUUUUUAAAACAACAACAACAACAUUGUUUUAGGUUUCUCGCCAUCCUGGCCACAAGAGAGCUAUCCAAAUGCAAUGUCUUCAAAAUGGCAAAAGAAGUAGUGAGCAUUUUUCAAGGACUUCUUUGAUUCAGAACGAGCUGGUCAUUCAUUCUGUCUUUUAUUAUCUUACAAUCUGAAUGAAUUUAAUUAAUGUAUUAAUUAAUUACAUUUAUACCCACCUCGCUUCCUCCAAAAGGAACACAGGGCAACAAACUCUAAAGGAUACAGCAGUUGCUGUUUUUCAAACAACUUUAAAACAACUUAUUGUACAGCACCAUAUCUUUGCAUAUGAAUGAGCUGGCUUGUAAACGUUCUUAUAAAUAAAUAAAAAAUAGCAAGACAAAUAGAAGCUAAGGUCCUUGCUCGGUUAAAGAAAGCUUAGCCUGCAAUUUUAUGAUCCCUGGGAAGGGCCCAUAGAAAGCAUCUGCAGGCAGAGAGCAUCUACAGAGCAAGGUCUUCAGCAAUAAAGGCUCCCCAGGGUCAGACUGGCCAAAAUUUGGUGCCUCCCCGGUCUGCCCCAGCCCUAGCACCUAGCACUGUGCUGGGCUUUCGGAAGGAGAUCCAAGGGCUCCUGCAGGGUCCUGGAGGCCUCCCAGCUCCUUCCCAAAGCUGAGCAAGUGCAAACUAGUCUUUGAGAAGGAGGUGGGAGCAAUGCCGGAUUUACGUAUAAGCUAAACAAGCUAUAGCUUAGGGCCCCACUCUCUUGGGGGCCCCAAAAAAAUUUAAAGGGGGAAAAAACCUGGAUGUACAUUUCC
rnacentral:lncRNA from 1 species